UACGGAGGGUGCAAGCGUUAAUCGGAAUUACUGGGCGUAAAGCGCACGUAGGUGGUCUGUUAAGCCAGCUGUGAAAUCCCCGGGCUCAACCUGGGAAUUGCGGUUGGAACUGGCAAGCUGGAGUAGGGUAGAGGGGUGUGGAAUUCCAGGUGUAGCGGUGAAAUGCGUAGAUAUCUGGAGGAACAUCAGUGGCGAAGGCGACACCCUGGACUCAUACUGACACUGAGGUGCGAAAGCGUGGGGAGCGAACAGG
rnacentral:rRNA from 1 species